rfam:Deltaproteobacteria bacterium RIFCSPLOWO2_12_FTLL_60_19 rifcsplowo2_12_scaffold_1244, whole genome shotgun sequence.
UCCGGUGGCGAUAGCGGAGGUGUCACACCCGAUCCCAUCCCGAACUCGGUCGUUAAGCCCUCCAGCGCCGAUGGUACUAUGCGGUUGCCGUAUGGGAGAGUAGGUCGCCGCCGGAU